AGAGUUUGAUCCUGGCUCAGAACGAACGCUGGCGGCAUGCCUAACACAUGCAAGUCGAACGAACUCUUCGGAGUUAGUGGCGCACGGGUGCGUAACGCGUGGGAAUCUGCCCUUGGGUACGGAAUAACUCAGAGAAAUUUGUGCUAAUACCGUAUAAUGUCUUCGGACCAAAGAUUUAUCGCCCAAGGAUGAGCCCGCGUAAGAUUAGCUAGUUGGUGGGGUAAAAGCCUACCAAGGCGACGAUCUUUAGCUGGUCUGAGAGGAUGAUCAGCCACACUGGGACUGAGACACGGCCCAGACUCCUACGGGAGGCAGCAGUGGGGAAUAUUGGACAAUGGGCGAAAGCCUGAUCCAGCAAUGCCGCGUGAGUGAUGAAGGCCUUAGGGUUGUAAAGCUCUUUUACCCGGGAUGAUAAUGACAGUACCGGGAGAAUAAGCUCCGGCUAACUCCGUGCCAGCAGCCGCGGUAAUACGGAGGGAGCUAGCGUUGUUCGGAAUUACUGGGCGUAAAGCGCGCGUAGGCGGUCUUUUAAGUCAGAGGUGAAAGCCCGGGGCUCAACCCCGGAAUAGCCUUUGAAACUGGAAGACUUGAAUCUUGGAGAGGUCAGUGGAAUUCCGAGUGUAGAGGUGAAAUUCGUAGAUAUUCGGAAGAACACCAGUGGCGAAGGCGACUGACUGGACAAGUAUUGACGCUGAGGUGCGAAAGCGUGGGGAGCAACAGGAUUAGAUACCCUGGUAGUCCACGCCGUAAACGAUGAUAACUAGCUGUUCGGGCUCAUAGAGCUUGAGUGGCGCAGCUAA
rnacentral:rRNA from 1 species